CCGUGACGAACUAAAAUUCUUCCAUAAACCGAUCAGCAGUUUCCGGACCCCUCCUCCAUAUCAUCGGCAGACUCCUUGCCAUAGUCAUUGGCAGACUCCCCAAUUAUAGCCAUCGGCACAAACACAUCACUGCCUGCAGACUUAGUCACAUCCGACCUCUCCUUCAUCGGCAACCAUCCUCAUCGGCAAUUCAUCUUAUAAACAGCAUACUGCCACUUUAUCCUGCCAUCCUGGGCACGUGCCCAAAAAACGGUGUCAACACAUGCCCCCAAUUUUGGAGUAUAAAACUAUUAAUGCUCCGAAAUUCUCUGCAGUAAUGAUGCCUUCUUCCCGCAAUUAAUACUCCUAAUCUGGUAACCGACAACCUCAAUCUGAACAACUCUGAUCCUAUUCUCCCGCAGAUUCCUCGAAAUCCCCAACUUCCUGAACGGGCAUUUCUCUCUCAACCGUACAUCGGCAAUAAUACCGUUACAA
rnacentral:lncRNA from 1 species